rnacentral:rRNA from 1 species
UACGAGGGGGGCGAGCGUUGUCCGGAAUUAUUGGGCGUAAAGCGCGCGCAGGCGGUUCUUUAAGUCUGAUGUGAAAGCCCACGGCUCAACCGUGGAGGGUCAUUGGAAACUGGGGAACUUGAGUACAGAAGAGGAAAGCGGAAUUCCACGUGUAGCGGUGAAAUGCGUAGAGAUGUGGAGGAACACCAGUGGCGAAGGCGGCUUUCUGGUCUGUAACUGACGCUGAGGCGCGAAAGCGUGGGGAGCAAACAGG